UUGGUGGCGACCGGCGCACGGGUGAGUAACGCGUAUGCAACCCACUUAUCAGAGGGGAAUAACCCGGCGAAAGUCGGACUAAUACCGCAUAAAACAGGGACACCGCAUGGUGAUAUUUGUUAAAGAAAUUCGCUGAUAGAUGGGCAUGCGUUCCAUUAGGUAGUUGGUGAGGUAACGGCUCACCAAGCCGACGAUGGAUAGGGGAACUGAGAGGUUGGUCCCCCACACUGGUACUGAGACACGGACCAGACUCCUACGGGAGGCAGCAGUGAGGAAUAUUGGUCAAUGGGCGAGAGCCUGAACCAGCCAAGUCGCGUGAAGGAAGAAGGAUCUAUGGUUCGUAAACUUCUUUUGCAGGGGAAUAAAGUGCAGGACGUGUCCUGUUUUGUAUGUACCCUGAGAAUAAGGAUCGGCUAACUCCGUGCCAGCAGCCGCGGUAAUACGGAGGAUCCGAGCGUUAUCCGGAUUUAUUGGGUUUAAAGGGUGCGUAGGUGGUUUGAUAAGUCAGCGGUGAAGGUUUGCAGCUUAACUGUAAAAAUGCCGUUGAAACUGUCGGACUUGAGUGUAAAUGAGGUAGGCGGAAUGCGUGGUGUAGCGGUGAAAUGCUUAGAUAUCACGAAGAACUCCGAUUG
rnacentral:rRNA from 1 species